CGGCUGCCUUGGCUUCCCAGAUGCUGGGGUCCGGCAGGGACCUCCCAGCCCAGGGUUUGCAGCUCCGGACCCCCAGCCCGGUGUGCAUCUGGCCUCUGCUGGGAACCCACCAGCACGUCCCAGACAGUCUUGCUCCCAAUCACCCUCCCUUCCACUCCCACGUGGCCGCCUCCUCCUCCCCACCCCAGCAAGGGUCCCCCACUCCUGAGCAUCCAAGGGAGAUGGCAGCAGGGAGUGACGGCCCCUCGGGUGAAGCCUGGCAGGAGCUGGAAGGCCCUGGACUGGUCUUCCGUCACAGUCCGGCCCCUUUGAUCUCCGGGAGGCAGGAUGCAGGCUGAAAUCCUGGACCUCUGCACUCGCCGGACCCGCGUCUUCCUCGGCUAGAGUCAGAGGAGACAUCCGGAGGCGUCGCAGCGCCCGGGGGCUGCAGUCUGGAUCUGCGGAUCGAUGGACCACGCUGCUAAUUCCAGCGCCGGGCACGGGGCACCCAGCCGUCGCUUCCACCCGUUGCUCUGCCUGCGUGAAACGAGUGCGCUGGGGCUCAGCUCAGCCCCCGGGGGAUGCGAGGUCUGCUGCUCAGCCCUGCAGAAGCCUUCCCCAGUUUCGGCCCAUGCCAAAAGGCCCAUUUUUGCCCAGCGAGGGGAAACGGCAGCACUCUCUCCUCAUCCUCCAGCCCUGCCAGAGAGGCUCGGCCCUGCCGCAGCCAGCGUCGCGGUGCAUCACACCCCUGCCCCCGGGUCCCAACCCGUUCGGCCAGCCCAGCCGUCUGCGCUGCUGGAGGGAGGCAGGACCCCUGCCCAAGGAGCCAGGCCCGGCUGCAGUUGUGCAGCGUGGUGCAGCGAUUAGCAGCCCAGUAAAACACGGCAGAGGAGAGACAAGGCAGGGAACUGGGUGCUGGUGAGGGGGCCGUUGCCCUGAGCAGGGAGCUGGGAGACUCCCAGCACCCCAAAUCCCAUGAUGAGACCCAUCGGGCCUGCUAGAGACGAGGAGCUGGGGGGGCUCGAUGCUCCUGUGACCAGCGUGGCGCGGGGCAGGGCCUGUUGGCACCGUGCCUCGGCAAGGCAAGCAGGCUGGGGCGGGCGGGCGCCACGUGAGCGUCUCUCGUGGGAGGGAGCUAGUGAGGGAGGCAGGCACGCUGGGGCCAGGGCAGGGACCUCUGGGAAGGACAGCUUUGCCUGGGAAAUGGAGGGACUCCUGCGCUGAGCUAAGGCUGGGAGCUUACGUAUCCUUGUAGCAGGGGGAGCUACUGGGAGCAUAAGGGAGGUGCCCAAGGCCACAUGAAGAGGGCAGUGGCAGAGCACAGCACUGACCCAAGUCUCCACAUGCCCAGCUGGUGCUCCAGGCACUGAGCAACCUUUCCAUCUGGCUGCUAAGGGGUCUCAGCGUGUCCCCCUCACCCCGGCAGACAGCUGACCCAAGGCUGGCCUUCUCCAUGCCUCUCCCUUUAGCCGCCCAGCAGCAGGGUGGGCCUUUGGCCCCGGCGACCUGCUGGCCAGCGGUGCAGGCCGGGGCGUUGUUACCCGGCCCCCUGAGCCACGCAUGCCACAUCCCCGUGCCAAACCCGUGCCAGAGGGUGGCAGGCAGGCCGUGUGAUCCGUGCUGGGUGGCAGAGUGUGGGGGCAAGGGACCCUGCCCCAGCAGGCGUGCGGUGUACUUUGUGGAUCCCCUACCCCUUUCUCCACCUCACCCCCCAAGCUGGCACGGGGCAGGUGCUCCACAGCCUGGGCUGGGGUGGGACGAGGUGAACACCACCCUCUUGCCACCCUCUUUUGCUGGCAGUGGGGUGUGUGUGGGUGUGUGUCGGGGGGGGGGGCUUCUGCCACUCUCAACCCAGGCACAAGGCAAGGUAGAUUUGCACCUUAUGGACAAACUGAAUCAGAGACACGUGGCAUGGGGAAGUGGGGGGCCUCUCUUACCCCCCAGCCAGCAGCACCCAGGGGGGUAAGGGGCUCCCAAGGGAGGGGGCCUGGGCUGGCAGAGAGAUGCUGGGGAGAAGGGGACACCGAGUCAGGGAGGAGGAGGAGACACAGAGAGAGAAGGGGAGAGAGCGCAGGACCAGCGCUGGGAGCUGGCAGCAGCGCGGCGAGCCAGGAGAGGACGAGAAGCCAGCCCCGGAGCCCUGCAGCGCCCAGGCAAGCCGGGACCCAGGCGGAGUAGGCCCCUGGGGGCACGGCGGAGGAUGCGGGGUCGCAUUGGGGAUGGGCUGGGGCUGGAUCCCAUGCAAUUGGGGGGGGGGGGGGUCCUGUGCAUGCUCCCCCGAGCUGUAGCCACGUGCCCCCCCAGCCCCGUCUGCUGCCCCAGGAUGGGGCACUGCAGCUGGAAGCGGGGUGUCUGCAGCCCUGAUGGCAGAGGGGCUGUGCGGGAGGGGGAUGGCAUCAGUGCAACCCCCCCCAGGCACUGGGGCGGCGCCUGCCCGGCUUCCCGCUGCAGGGAAACAAAGGAGCCAGGGCUGGGCUCAUGGAAAAGUACCGGCAGGGCUCCCGGGGGAGGGCCCUGCCAUGCACAUUGCACACCGGGGAGGGGCGAAGGCAGUGCCGGCUGCAGCCCAGCCCAGCCCCGCAGCAGGGGGGCAGGAGGCUGCCCCUGGGGUGCUUGGUGCCCCUCUCCCUGAGCACUGCCUGCCUCCCACCGUGCCCUGCUCCUGGCGGGGUGGGCACAGCCGCCCCCCGUCUCCAGCCAGGCGGGAGGUGCCCCAGUGAGCUUCCCCAACCCCCUGCGCUUCCAGGCACCGGGGGACCCUGCACCUUGUGAGCCGGGGAGCCCUUGGGUGUCUGCACCCCCUCCCCUUGCUCUCAGGGGCAUUGGUCCCUCGUAGGGGGGGACACGGGGAGGACCGACUGCCUCCCGGCAUCCAGGGCAAUGCCUCGCGCCAGCCCCCCCGAGCAGACGCCACCCCAGCGAACGCCGGGUGAAUCCCCAGUGCAGGGGUGCACGAGCGGCAGCAAUGCGGAGACCGUUUCGCAGAGUGGGAUUACCCUAAAGGCUUUCCAGACGGGGCUUUUGAGGCAGUAGCUGCAGGGUCCCAGCCCAGCCUGGCUCGUGCCAGCACCCUGGGGUUGGGGAUGCAGCGAUGAGCUGCCUUUUAUGCCGGUCCAGCUGGCUCUCUGGCAGCUGGAGAGGAGAGCAGGGGCUUUGGCCCCAGCGUGAGACCCAGCUCAUCUGUGCUCCUCCUGGUCCUGGCAGGAGGUGAGAUCCCGGCUGGCUGGACCCGGCUGGGGACAGGCUUCGUGCUCCGGGUUUGGAGCAGUCCUGAGCUCACGGCUGUGGCAUUUAACGGGAGGGCACAUGCAGCCCUGGGGGUCCUCCCAGCGUGCCCUCCUAAUGUGUUUCGUCCCCGCCUGUCACCCACACAGUUCAGGAUCCCUGAUCCCUGGGUCCUCACCCAACUCUGCCGAUGCCCCUUGCUCCUGACCCGCAGCCCCCUGGACGGUGGCAGUCUCGGGGGUUCCCCUGAGCAAAGGUUAGGAUCUUGCAACAUCAGCUACCACCCUCUCCUGACCAAAGCCACUUGCCCUAGUGACCUUGCACACGUAUCCCCUGCACACCCCUCGCCACGUCGCUGUGCGUGCCAGCCCAUGCUGCCUCCAGGCUCGCUGCCCUGUGCUGGAAGGCACGGGAUGGGUGGCAUCUGCCAGCACAAGCCAGAGGGGGUGUGGGUCAGCGGGGCGUGGGAGACCAGGGCGAGGGGAUAAAGCCAGGCCUAUUUUUAUGCUGUAAAGCAAUUACCAGUGCCUUGCAACCCUUAAUCUGCUCCAGCGCCCUGGCGCGAUUGGCUCCUUCCCUGAGCCUGGCAACGCCUGCGUCAGAGCUGGACCCUCUCAUCCCUCUCAUGCAUUGGCAGGCCCCUUGCCCAUGCCCUUUCCUGGGCUGGCAGCUGAGCUGGUGGCUCCCGACCUGGUCCAGUGCCCAUGGGGGGCCAGUGUGUGGGCAUGGGGCUGAGGACACAGCCAUAACCACCCCUGCCCAGCUCCUGCCACCCUUGACGAUGACCAAGUGCCUUCGGACCUGGCUUACGACUUGUAGCUAUGGGCAAAAGUGCUGCACAGAGCAACCAGUCCCCGUCCCUUCUUAGCAAGAUGCCCUCGGCUUGGCUGUCUUCUUCAGCUCCCCGCUGGGCCUUGUGUCUUCACAUGGGCUGUGUGACCAGGUUGGGAUGCCCAAACGGAGCCUCAGGCCGGCCCAGAAGUCCUGGGCUUUUCAGCACGGCCUCUUUGCUGGGCCCACAGCCUCCCCUCUCUUGCAAGAGUUGAGAGACAGAGGCCACUGCAGGUUUGGGCGCGUGCCCUCUGUGUUGGAAAGCCUGCCCGUCCCCAGACGAUGCAGAGAAUUGGGGGUUGCUGAGGAAGGAGCGGGUAUCAGGGUCUCCCAGGGUGGGGCGGGUGCGAUCAUGCCUAUCUCAGGCGCUGCGGACAUCUCUGCUGCGCACGAGGGUGGCUACGGCCGACCUUGCCAAGUCUCAUCUGGCUGCUGUCCCAGCCCCUCCCCGCCCUGUCACCGUGCCCGGGGGAUGUUACAGGACCUGCUCCACAGCUCUGGCGGUGUCAGCAGUGGGACUCGCAGGCACUGCUGAUGGAUGUUCACAGCAGGACCUUUUGUUCCCGUGGCUGGCCAGCUGGAUAGAGGGAGCACCCAACUUGUAUCUAGGAUGCAGCCACCUCUGGGGUGGAACAGGCCAAGCAAGGGGGGGCGGGAGAAGACUGCAGCCAAGGUGUUGUCUGCAGGGGAGCUGAUGCGCCUUGUGAGCAGGUCUGGGUCUGCCUGUGGCCUUGCAGUGUGGGGCAGAUUCAGUCUGACCCUGCUGGGAUGUGGGGAACAUCACUGCAGCAGUGCCAGGAAGUCCAGGACCUGCUGCUAUCAGGCCAUGCAGAAGCGGUAGCCAAGACCUAAUCCAGCACUACUUCCGUGCCCUGAUUAAACAUUUAAGAGGCCAGCUGCUGGAGACCUCAUUAGUGACGGCGAUGUGGAGGAGUCAGGGAUGAAGGCCUGGGGAUUCCUGCCAGGGGGGACGUCGGCGCAGCAUCUCAGCCUGCUCUGCCGAGUUGGUUGGGACUCAUUCGGGAGGUCUGUCUUGCCACGGGGGGCUCAAGAGCACCUUAAGCAAAGCAAGGGCAAAGCUGUGCUCUGCUUUGUGCCAGGAACAUGCCAGCAGGUGCCCACAUCUGCAGCUGCCCUGCGACGUGUAAGCCCCACGAGAUCACUGGCAUCCGACAGGCAGGGGCCAGGGGUGGCUCAGUGCCCAGGUGGUUGUGCCGUGGCCUCCCAAGCCAGCACUUGAUGCCAGCCCCACGUGCCCUAGCCCCGUGGGCAGGUCCAUACUGGUGCCAGCCACCUGCUGAGCAUGCAGGACUACGAGGCGCCUGUUGUCAAGCGGUGCCCGGGCUUUCCUACCCAGAGGGGCUGCGCGGGGAGAAGGGGAUGCACGAGCCGUGGGCCAGCCUCGGUUCGAAGCCGUGCGGUGCAAGACUUGGCAGCCGGCUCCUCCACACAUGCCCUGCAAGAGGGAGCCGGUGCCGGGCCCCACGUGACGGCUGUGCACACACCAGGCAGCCAGAAAGCGCUGCAGGCCCCGCCAGUAAUUUACUUCCAUGAGCUAAUGGCUAUAAAAGGCCCUUAUGGAGGGCCCGCGCCUGAAUGUUUGAUGAGCCUGGGCCGCGGCUCCCAGCAGGGCCCCGUUAAAGGGACAGGCCUCGUUUGUCUGGAGCAAGCUGGAGCCGCUCUGAUCCUCCGUGAGCGUGUGCACGCGAGCAUGCGCGUGUGCAAGCUUGCGGAAGGGAGAUCUGUAUUUCUGAGCUGAACGGACCAUGCAUACUACAGCGCUCCCUGGGGAAACCGAGGCAGGAUCAGUCCCACGUGCCUGGCAGCGCUACACCCAUUGCCCUGGCAGCCAUGGGUACCGGGAGCUGCAUCAUGCUUUCUCUGCCCACCUGCGUCCCUCCAGCGGGGCCGGGGCCCUUUCUGGGCCCCCUAAACGAAUUCAACCUCGGGAAAGAGCCAGGAGAGAGGGCAGGGCUUGGCACCGUCAGCUCCAAAAGGGUCGUCGGGAAGCCCCCUCCGAGCGGCGUUGCCCUCCCCGGGGGAGAAAGCCGCCCCUGGCUAGGCAGACAGCAGCUCGAGGCCCAGCCAUGGGCUGGUGGCGGAAGGGGCAGGCAGGUGGGGGCGGCCGUGAUGGGGGCACGAUGCACGCUGGACCCCUGCCGCCGCUGAGGUCACCCCGGCUGCCCGGUGGCUCCUUUAUGCAGCCCCGGCAGAGACGCGCGGGCAGACAAAAGCCUCCCUUUGUUGUUGCUUUACGAGCUCCCUGCCCCCAGCAGCCCAGCUGGUGACAUUUUACCACCUCCACAUUCACAUGGGAUUCAAAGGGCACAGAUGCACCAUGAAACCACAAAGCACAGCCCUUCCCCCUCCCCACAGAGCAUGGGGGCGGGGAGGCCGGUACCCUUUCCGAAGGGAUGCCCAUGAAGCCAGUGCCACCCCUUGGCCCGCACGGUGGACCCUGGCCUCCUUGUUUGAGCGCCUCACCCCUUUGGGGGGUAUCUUCAUGUGCUCCCAGGCCGUUCCCGUGUUAGAUCCAGGAUCUUGGCACCCGCCCGUCACUGCUGGAUGGUGUCUGACCAGGCAAAGAUCAAUGGGGGUGGGCAAGCAGAAGAUGGAGCCGAUGGCCUGCCAGUGCUGCCGCCCCAGAGGUGCUUGCAAGGAGCUGGAGCGAGGUGUCCCUCUGCCCUCCAAGGAGCGAGGCUAAGGGGGACAGCCCGGCCAGCCCCGACAUUGCCUGGGGUGUACAAUGCUGUUUGGCACAAGUACCUUACACGAGGACCUGGGGUUUCUCUUGAGAGCCCAGGAGAGCAGGCUGGUGUCUUCAAAGAGGCCUUGGGAGCAAGCCCACGCCCUCCGCCCAGAUGCAGCCGGAGACUGUGAGUCACUGCUCCGCGGAGGAAGACGCGUCCUGGGGGAAUUCACGGCAUGCAUACUCCCUGCUUGGGUUCCCUCGACACCCAGAGCCCUCGCAACCCCCUGUCCGACCCCUGCAGGGGAGCUGAUGGGGCCACGGCAGAGGCUGGUCCCCUCUCUGAACCGCUCUCUGCCCCCAGGGCAGGGGCUGUGCGUCUGGAGAUGCUCCAAGGCAAACACAUGCUGUUGGCCACAAAAAAUCUCUUACCACUGAGCCAUUUACCAUGGUGGUUGCAACAAGCCCCAACCUGGGUCACUACGACCGGCCUCCAUAAAAUCUCCCUCCCGGCCCCAUCGGAUACGUUCCUCUCCUCCUGUCCCAAACUCGCACUGUGCAGCUGCUAAGCAGCUGCCGUGUCCCGCCCCAGAGGCAGCUGCAUUUCAGCGGUGGGUGGAAAGACUCCCGGUUCCUGCAACUUUGUAAAUCCUCUUGCCAUUGACAGUCCCAACGUCAUCGUCAGCGGUUGUUAUUUUUGGUUUGGUGGGGACUGAAGGGCUGGCCACGGGCCAGCCACUACAGCGCAUCCCGUCUGGUGUUACAUCUUGUCUGGUGGGCAGCGCUAGGGUGAGCAGGCUGCCUUUAAAAUCCAGGCUUUUACUGCCAAAGACCCGCUCAUUCGGCAGUCUGUCUGUGGAGCAAUGGUGCUAUCUAGUGGCUAGUUGUGCUGGAGGACUAAUCCUAGCGCUUCACCUCUUCCCAGGCCUCGCAUAGCACCAGUGGCCUGAGCGCUCCAGCCUCCCCGAGGGGAUGAGACAGUGCUGUUCCCAUUUUGCAGAGAGGAAAACUGGGCGUAGAGAGAGGAACUGAUUUCCCGUGUGUAACCAAGCUGGGAUUAAAACUCAUGCACCCAUCGCGUCCGACACAAGGUUGUUCCUCUGGCUUUAUUUAGACGUCCAGAAACAUUGUGGACUAUAAAUGGCUCCAAAAAAAAAAGGAAGUCUGGGUUUUGCCAAAAGCUAAAUUAGAUCAUGAGUGUGUUGCCAGUGCCAGCAGCGAUCUGAAGUCGGGAAUCGGUGCCAGUUACAAUGCACUUCCCCUGCAUCACCUCGGGCCACGUCUCCACUGAUGAAACGCAUCCUGCUGGAAACUGUGCGGGGAACCGCAUUUUAAUGAGCAGAGCCAAAAAGAUAGCAUGGCUCUUGGUGACCUGAUCUUCACCUGGGGCAAAGAUGUUGGGAACCAUACAAGUGCGGACAAGGGUUAAUACAUGUUAAUUGGUCUGGACCAAUUUUACUUCCCUUUUACUCCAAGCCAUUAGGAUGUGUAAAAAUGUGGAAAAUGGCCCUUGUAGACAUUAGAAUUUCAAUCCAAGCUGAAAACACAGCCUCUUUGCUUCUAGCGUGGAUGCCACCAACGUGGCAAGGAUGGCUGUGUUAGCAGCAAUCAAACACCGCUAGCUUCUCAGCGUUCGGAUGCAACUGGUACUACCCAUUGUGGUAGCUAGCAGGGUUUCCCCAGCCUAAUGCAGGAUUUGAACCCAACACUUCAGAGUCCAGGAUGUGCUGGAGAUGCAAUUACCCUCAAAGACAGCCAGCAGCGACCAGGUUGUCUGCAGCUUUGCUCGUCACCGUCCCUACUUCCUACAGCUGCGAGGACGGUAGGGAAUGAUUCAUCUCCCCUUCGGCAUCUCCUUGUCCCAUAGAAGGUGCCAACCUCCUUGCAUGGGCCAGGUACUGAGCUGGCCCUACCGGUCCUUCUCGUCUGGGUGCCACGGAUGGGGUGUCCUUGGAGGUGGCACAGGGGGAAUGGGACAGCUCAGGCAAUUUGGGAUAGGCGUUAAAGGGUUAAAAGAGGUGGAGCCUCUGCCAAACUCUCCAGCAAGGAUUCAAACUGAUGGGAUGGCCAGCCAAUGAAAAGGCUGCUGAGAAGCAUUACAUCAUCAAAGCAUGCUCUCACUGGCUGCUCCUGGGUGGAGGGCAGGACUGGGUGCCUAGCAACUGCUAAGAUAUGUUAAUAUAUUCAACCUUAACCCCUUCCUGAGCAACCAGCUCAGCACAGAGCCCCUGAUGUAGGGUGCUGGGUUGCUUUUAUGGCGAGAAGGGCCAUAAAGGUAUGGGGGGGUGUUGAUGCAUCGCCUCCUCGGGCACGGGCAAGAAGGCGGGCGCUGCCAGGGGGAAGGAGCCAGAGUCACCAGCCCCCCGCCUCGCCGUGAUUUCAUCUCCUUUUUGUGCUGCACGCCGGGCUGUGCAGAGGCCCAGCGCCUGGGAGCGCGGCUCUCCCUGCAUGCGCGCAGAUGGCACCAUUGUUGUGGGAACAAAGGCGGGAGGGACGCACGGCACCUCGAGCUGGCAGAGGGAGGCCGGCUCCUGGCAGCUGGGCAGCAGGGGCAAGCUGUCCCACCAAGAAGCGGGGAUGUGGGAACUGGGUCCAGGACCAGGCCAGUUAUGGGUGGGGAGGAGAGCCAGAACUGGUUCCAGUGAAACCAGACGGGACCCAGCGAUGGGGGAUGGAGUUGGGUCAGCAUCCAGCUAAGAGCUGUCCCCACCACCGCUAGAUCCAGGUCGGCCCUUAGCCGUGAUCAGAAGAUGCUCACAAAUUGUGGCAUCUCAGUGCCCACGGGUGCAGCCGGUGACCUGGGGCACACACGGUAGGGCAGCGGGCCACGCGAGGGCUGGAAGGUCGCAGCCGAGCACAGGUGUCUGCACCGCUUCGAAGACAGAUGGGUGGCUGCAAUCUGGCACAUUUUGGGUCGGGCUCUCGUUUGGGCCUGCAAUGGGCACCCCGGCGCCAGACGCUGGCGCACAAAUGGGCUCUGCCGCCCCUCCUGGAGCCACAGCCUGCGCCCGCUGGACCGUGUGCCGAACCCAGCGUGACGGCUGGGAAUGCAGAGCUCCCUGUAUGAAGGGCAAUGUGGGGCCACGGGGAUUGCUUGGCCGGAGGGAGCGGUGGACAGGGAGCCAGGAUGCCUGGGGUCUCAUCUCAUCUCCACUGCUGGCUUCCUGGGAGUCUGUUACCCCCUCUGCGUGCCUCAGUUUUCCCGCUCUGCUCACUCCCUUCCCUGGGGAGCUGUGGGAUGACACGGGUGAGGAAAUAAAGCACUUUGUGCUCCUCAGAGAGCAGAGCCUGGCCAGGGGAGGGGCACCACGGGCUUGUUACCUGAGUCUCCCCUUGGGAUCGCGGGGCAUCUGGGCAGCACGGCGCCUUGCCCGGCUAGCAAAAGGGAAGAGGCGGCUGGGGGUGGAUCUGCAGCUGCCCACAUCUGCCCCGUGCCUGGGGUGGAGCUGCCAGGGCAGGGGCAGGGGCUGGGUGCUGGCCUGCUGCUAGGUGCCGCGGGUCCGUGCAUGGGGCUGGGCUCCUCUCUUGCAAACUGGACGUGCACGGGAAAGGGACCCGAUGGGCACAGCAGCAUUUGGGGGUCCUGGGGCAUCCCCUGCACAUCGCCCCCCAGGCCAGCGCCCCGGGGUAUCGCUGCCCACAGCCUGCCCCUCUCCCCUCCCCCUGCCGCGUCUCUGGCAACUGAUCCCAGGGACACAAAUAGCUCUUUUUUUUGCCCAGCCAGCCCGGUGGGUUGCCUUGGGAACAGGAGCUCGGCUUUUGAUGUCACUGGGAUGGUUGCUACGGCGACUGGCCCAGAUUGCCUGUCCCCCUGUGAGGUCACUAUUGCCAUGGAGACAGACUGGAUUGAGCUAGAGCCCCAGUGCUUUGGCGGCAAGGGGAGGAGGAUGGAUGGAGCCAGCCCGGCCCCUUGGCAGCUCGGGCUCCCAGCACGCGGAUGCUGCAGCAGGCCCCGGUGGGGCAGUGGGCCAGGCCGCGGCCAGCGCAGGGCCCCGAGGGCACCGGAGUCAGGGUCAGAGGGUGCAGCCUCAGCACCAAAGGGGACUGGACCGGAGACACAGAGGAGCAGUGGAAAACUCCAGUGCCACUAGAUAUGCCAGAGGUGCUAGUGGGUUGGGGGAGCUACGGGUACCAGGGUAUCCAGCACCAGAGAGCAUCACAUGAGUACUUGAAACCCAAAAGAGUCAGAGGAGUGCUGCUGGGGUACUAGAGGGGUAUCGGAGGGGUAUGGAGUUACUGGUACUGCGGUGUAGCGAUGGGUUGGGGGUACUGAAAAACUGUGGGUGUGAUAGAGGGGCUAGUAUAUGGGGGUAUCGGGCACCGGGUUAUUAGAGAGACACGAGGGCAGGGACUUGUUAUACAAGAGUAUAUAACGGCCGCAUCUACACAAGACGCUUGCUGCGCAGUAGCUUGCUCCUACCGUGCAGUAGCAUCGCGGGACGCAAGCCCAUGGGGCGACGCUACUGGGCAGCAGUAACGAGGCGCCGCACAGUCGGCAUCACCACGACCGCGCACGCAGUAACGCUGGUCACCGCGCAGUCAUUUAGUACGUGGGUGUGCAAGUACUUAAGGACUGCGCAGUAACAACUGCAUAGCCAGCGGCUCGUGGAGAUGCAGCCAAGGGGUAUUUAAGGAGUAAUAACGGGAUUAGGGCAGGAGCGCGGUAACAUGAGUACCAGAGUCAUUGGUACCAGACUGCCUGAGGUCUUGAUGAGCUGCCAAUCCCAUUGCACAAAGGCGCUUUGGGAUGUCAAAUGUUGGCACCUCCCCACCCCCAAAUUUUGGGAUGUCAGGGGGAACUCCCUCCCAAGCUAUUUUGGCGGCCUGCCAUCUUUUGCUUUGACUUUCACUUAUUCGAUUAGCAUAAAGGUGACAGGGAAAAGUUAUUUCCAAAUGAAAACACGACGUGUUUCGUUCAGAAGAUGUCAUGAUAGCCCGUUCUCAGCUCGCCUCCGCUGUUUUUAAUUCUCCCACCCCGCAAAAAAAAAAGACUUGCAAUGAAAUCACUGCGGCUUCAUUCGGAUCCCAGUGCAACUGUGUUUCCUGAUAGAAAAUACUUCUGUCAAGCUUCUGACCAACUCUCGUACUUUUGGGUGACCAGGAGGUGUGAGAAGGGCUAAAAGGGCACUGGGGUCAUCAUUCGCUGGGGGCAGGAGCAGGUGCAGGUGUGGGUGGAAGGGGUGACCGAGCGGGGUUGCUAGAACAAGGAGCAUAUGAGGAGUGACGACCGCAUGCGAAGGUUGCAGGGGAGUUCGCACCCCCACCCUUUAUUACCCUUUGCUCAUCGCUUCUGGAAAGCUGCUGACCAGGGAUUCCCCAGCCUCGGACUCUGCCCAGCGAUGAAGUCUCCUAAGCAAGCCUGGCCCAGACACCGAGCUUGCAGGGAGAGCAAGGAGGGCACCUUUCUCAGCGGAGAUACUUUGCACAGCCCUGCAGUGCAAGAGCCGUGAACCUCUGCAGACAGCCAGCCGUGCGUAGUGCAUGGGGUGCAUUCUGCAGAAGCAGCUGGUGACGAGCAUGCCCCAUGUCCGCACGUGGCUCUCCAGAUCUCUGCCACUCUCUGCAUUGACCUUCUCUGUCCCGUCUGACCGCAUGCUCCCCCCAGCCCAGCAGGUGAUCCCUUAGCCAGUCAGACCUCGGGAUUAGCAGCUUCUGCCAGUGUAUUAUUUAGCCAAAGCUACUUAGUGAGACCUGCCUUGGAGGGGCAGGUGGCGGGUUCCUUAAAUAGAUGGGCACAGAUAGGGCCAGACACGGCAGAAAGCCAGAGGCACCUGGUCACAGGAUACUGCGCGGCCACAGGUGAAGCAGCUGGCUGCCCACAGGUAGAGCGCUGUCCUGGGCACAGUGUAGCCAGGAAAGGCCAAAGGAGAAUAAGGAUUCACCCUGCCAGGCCCAGGAGCUAGAGACAAGUAGGGCCUAGCGGGAGCAUGGGAAGGGCGUGCUGUGCAGAGCACCCCAGGUAGACAGGCUGAGCUCAGAGCCGUUUGCAAAGCCCCCUGCUUUGCUGCAAGUCCCUUAAGUCCUGAAACAACUCAGCAACCAUGACAAGCUGCUGCCAAAGCACCAGUUGCUACCACCUGGUCUAAGUGAGACUCUCCACCCGCUGUGAGAAGGAAGGGGGCUUUGACACACAAUGGAGCAACACUAUUUCCUUGCAGUAGGGGGCCCCACUCCUGGCCCUGGGCCUGAAUCAUGGGGCAUGAGCCCUUCCAGAUCCUCGUGGAGGAACUGUAGCUUUCCCCGCGGACCCCAGGAGCCUGGAGGAUGGCAGCCCCUGCCUCAGAGCCUCGAGUCCCAGCUAGCGAGGGCCAAGACUCGUGCUGGCGGGGUGGACACAGCAAGGCUGGAGUCACUUGUCUGAUGGCUUUGGCUGGGAACCUGGGCUAUUGAAGUGGAGAGGGCCUGCCUCCCGGGCUGGACCCCAGCUCCCCUAGGCUAGGCGGGCCUGGCAGAGGAGAAUCCAGUGGGGAGCAUCUCUCCGAUGAGUCUCCAGCUCUGUUAUUGCGACUGCAGGAGCCCUUUGUGCGCCACGUUAUGCCUUGCGACCCCUGGGGUUUCUUUGGAGACGUCCCUCUAGACCUGCCUUGGCUUGGCUUAGCUCACGGGAUGAGCUGGGAUCCCAGCCCAGCACCCGGGUUGCAGGGCAGGGCUGAGGCUUACGUGUCUGUUAACUCACAGAAGCCGUCUCCCCGUGAAGCAUUCAAUGCAUGCAGGGGGCCCUUCGUCAGCAUCAGGAUGGGACCGGUCCUCGAUCGCUCCCCGCCCCAUUCUGCCGUGCAGCCGUGACCAUGUGGCAGCAAGGGGGUGCACAGCCAGCCCGGCACGGGCCCCCCGCCCCGCACCGUACUCUGUGGAGGGGUCCGAUACAGCCCUCGGGGUCCGUUCCAGACAGCGAGGACUCCUGCCUCUUCUUCCCUUGAUCCCAAGCCAGUAGCAACAACCAGCAUGCGUCCUCCCCUCAGGAAUCCCAGGGUUGGGGGAUGUUCACGCAGUCUCUCCCUCUGUGGUAGGGACAGGAUUUUCCCAUUUUACAGAAGGGCAAACGGAGGCCCAUGGAGAUGAGGUGGCCAGGGCCAUGCAGGAGGUUGGUAGCGGAGCUGAGAAGGGACGUGAAGAGCCCAGCCUGCUGAUGGAGUCUCGGCCCCAAGUUUUUCUUGGCUUAAAGUGCACAAAAGAAGGACAAACCCUGGAUUCACCCAGGCUCGCGGCUCUUUCCCGGGGCUGUUUCGGGGGUGCUAGGGUCUGCGUGGGUGCAAGGACCGGGGCGCUUUAUGCACCAGCCAGAGCCACGGACCCCGACCCGCGGAGCAGGUCCCCUCCAGUCCAGCCCCUGCCCGUGACACCGGGUUACAGCCAGCUGCACGGGGAUAAAGCAGGGCAUCCCCCGCCCCUGCAGCCCCCCUGCCGCUCCCUUUCAUCCUCCCUAUUCUGGCUCGCUCCUGUCUCUCCUCUUCAUUCUCCUCAGAUUAGCACGGUGGGGUUUGUGGUUUAUCUGCCCAGCUGGGGCUCGGGGCAGCUUAGCCCGGUCACCGAGCUGUGGGCCGGCCGGCCCGUUCAUCCGAGAGCCAAUGGAGUUCCUAGGCACCAGCCUGGAUUAAGCCGGGCUCUGCUGCUGCUUUUGUGUCAGAGGAGACAGGCCCAGAGGGGCUCGUGGGGGGAUUCGCCCCCAGGGCACUGGGGGAUGCAGGGAGGAGAGCCCCGUGACCCUUUGCGUGCUGGAAAUCCGCCUGGCUGCCCGCAUGAUUGUGGGGAGGCAAAACAAAUAUCAUUUUUUUAUAUUUGCUGGUUUUAAAUAUAUAUAUAUAUAUA